AGAAUGAACGCUGGCGGCGCGCCUAAUACAUGCAAGUCGAGCGAGAAGACGUAGCAAUACGUUUGUAAAGCGGCGAACGGGUGAGGAAUACAUGGGUAACCUACCCUAGAGUGGGGAAUAACUAGCCGAAAGGUUAGCUAAUACCGCGUACGCUCCUUGGACUUCGGUUCAGGGAGGAAAGCGCUACCGUGGGUAGCGCGCUCUUGGUUGGGCUCAUGUCCUAUCAGCUUGUUGGUGAGGUAACGGCUCACCAAGGCUUCGACGGGUAGCUGGUCUGAGAGGACGAUCAGCCACACUGGCACUGCGACACGGGCCAGACUCCUACGGGAGGCAGCAGUAAGGAAUAUUGCGCAAUGGGCGAAAGCCUGACGCAGCGACGCCGCGUGGGGGAUGAAGGUCUUCGGAUUGUAAACCCCUUUCGGGAGGGAAGAUGGAAUGGGGUAACCCAUUCGGACGGUACCUCCAGAAGCAGCCACGGCUAACUUCGUGCCAGCAGCCGCGGUAAUACGAAGGUGGCAAGCGUUAUUCGGAUUUACUGGGCGUACAGGGAGCGUAGGCGGUUCGGUAAGCCCUUUGUGAAAUCUCCAGGCUUAACCUGGAACAGUCGGAGGGGACUGCCGGGCUAGAGGACGGGAGAGGAGCGCGGAAUUCCCGGUGUAGCGGUGAAAUGCGUAGAGAUCGGGAGGAAGGCCGGUGGCGAAGGCGGCGCUCUGGAACGUUUCUGACGCUGAGGCUCGAAAGCGUGGGGAGCAAACAGGAUUAGAUACCCCUGUAGUCCUAGCCGUAAACGAUGGAAACUAGGUGUGGCUUGUAUCGACCCAAGCCGUGCCGAAGCUAACGCGUUAAGUUCCC
rnacentral:rRNA from 1 species